UCCCUCUUAGCUCAGUUGGUAGAGCGCGUCACUAGUAUAGGGUAUGAACAUUGUCAUGACGAGGUCAGUCGUUCAAAUCGGCUAGCGGGAA